rnacentral:snRNA from 1 species
GUGCUUCCUUCAGCAGCACAUAUACUAAAAUUGAAACAAUACAGAGAUUAGCGUGGCCCCUACACAAGGAUGACAUGCAAAUUUGUGAAGCAUUUCAUAUAUAA